UUCUCCAUCAUCUUCAUCAUAUCUUCAUUCUACAUCUUAGAAUUCUAAUUUUCCAUAACCACACUCCAUACUACAUGGCUCCACUCUUCUUUUGCUUUUCUUUCUAAAGAUGCAAGCUAAAGAUUUUCAUAAAAGGAAGAUUCGAUUUUAAAUUGAUGAAGAUUCGAUUUUAAAGCUGACCGGCCCGACCAGACCAUACGUGACCCAACGGCCCGACCGCCGGCUCUCGGCCCGAUCACCGGGCGAAUGCUGAAACGGUUUAACAAGCAGAACCGGCCCGGUGUGCACUCCGGAACCCGGCCGGACUGGUCCGACCGGCCGGCCCGGUCCGGUUUUUAAAACAUUGGUUGCGCACAUGGUGCAUGGGCACUGAGGUGACGUGCGCGGCGCACCUAAGUGAGCCAAAACGGCGCGACUGUGUGGCGUGCUCGUAGAGGCUACCAGGUGACGUGGCGCACGCGCGUAGGUGCGCAUGAGACUAAGGCGCACGCGCGCAUGGCAGUGAGCCAAAUGGACGCACCGCGAAUGAGCGUGCAGACCUGCACGCACGCACCAAGGCGGCUUGCGCGCGCGCGCGCAGAAGCUUGCAGCAGUAGUUAAUGCAGUGCAGUUACGGUUCAGCAUUCGAAACUGACGAAGUUAAUGCGUUUGACUGAGAAUUUAAUGACGAAUUAAAGUGCAUUGAAGACGUUUAAUGCAGCUUAAUUCACCCAUUAAAUUCGUUUUUCAGUUUCUUCAAAAUUCUUCAUCUUCUCUCAAGAAGCAAGGUACACCUUCGGGUUGGAGUUAAGACCGGCAGUGCAACUGCUUGCGGCUGUUGUAUCCUGGAAACAAACGUGUUCUCCUGGGAGACACGAAAUUUGUUUUAAGGGACCCGUGUCUAACACGAUCCUCAGCCAAGAACAGUUUCGUCUGUUCGAGUUUUCUAUUCUUGUAUUUCUAUUUUUCAGUUGUAAUUGUAUUGUACUUCUAUUUUAUUCUGUAAUUGUUUCUGUUGUUCAAGUUAAUAAAGUAUUUUUAUUUAUUU
rnacentral:lncRNA from 1 species